rnacentral:rRNA from 1 species
CUCAAAUGAAAUACCACCACUCGGAACGUUGCUUCACUUAUCGAAUGAAGAGACCAAUGGUUGUUUUGCGCAGUCUUCGGGCUGUGCGCCGUCUAGGCUGGGCAUAAUUGUGGUGUUUCUUUCACCGCCACGGGAGGGGUGUUGGUUUUUUAUCCUUCUCUCCGUUUCUCCUUUUCUCUCUUUCUCCCUUUUUUGGGCGUUUGAGGGCUGGUGACCCGUGGGCGCCCAGCCGUGCGGAACUAUUUUUUUUUUUUUUGAAAUUUUCUUCGUGCCUUCGUGAGAGUUUCCCCCCACUGGCGCGGCCAUCAGCCAUCACCGUAGAGCCCUGAGAUGCUAUCGGUCUGGCGACUGUGGCAGAGUCUCCCUUUUUCAUUCAUCCUAACACACCCUCUAUAAUUUUUGUUGUAUUUCCGCAUAUGAACGGAAUACAGCAGAUGGGGCGAGAAGCCUCCCACCCUGGACUCUCCCAAAGAUGCCAAUUGGCAAUCCUUUUUUUUGGAGUUCCACAUCACCGGACAGCAGCAUCUUAGUGCGGAUGAUACUGCUGAUGGCACGCUGGCACGUGCCCAGGGACCGACAAAUGAAAAACGGUGUCCCAGCAAGACGCUGCUGAUCCCUGUGCUGUAUGAUGCCGUAGCCGGAGCAAAGCAGUGUUCCCCAUGAAAGGAACGCUGCUGGCUCUUGGCUUCCCCCGAUGAUACGGGGUACUGGACCCUGGCACACGUUGAGGUGGCCGGCAUCGCCAGGGAGUGUACCAAAUUUUUUUUUUUUUUAGAAUUUUCUUCGUGCCUUCGUGAGAGUUUCCCCCCACUGGCGCGGCCAUCAGCCAUCACCGUAGAGCCCUGAGAUGCUAUCGGUCUGGCGACUGUGGCAGAGUCUCCCUUUUUCAUUCAUCCUAACACACCCUCUAUAAUUUUUGUUGUAUUUCCGCAUAUGAACGGAAUACAGCAGAUGGGGCGAGAAGCCUCCCACCCUGGACUCUCCCAAAGAUGCCAAUUGGCAAUCCUUUUUUUUGGAGUUCCACAUCACCGGACAGCAGCAUCUUAGUGCGGAUGAUACUGCUGAUGGCACGCUGGCACGUGCCCAGGGACCGACAAAUGAAAAACGGUGUCCCAGCAAGACGCUGCUGAUCCCUGUGCUGUAUGAUGCCGUAGCCGGAGCAAAGCAGUGUUCCCCAUGAAAGGAACGCUGCUGGCUCUUGGCUUCCCCCGAUGAUACGGGGUACUGGACCCUGGCACACGUUGAGGUGGCCGGCAUCGCCAGGGCGUGUGGAACUACUGCGCCAACGGGGUGGGAACUUUUCGUUUCUUCUCCGGAGUCUUGUUUCGAGACAUCUGCCAGAUGGGGAGUUUGGCUGGGGCGGCAUAUCUGUUACACGACAACGCAGGUGUCCUAAGGCGAG